AGGAAUUGGCGGGGGAGCACCGCAACGGGAGGAGCGUGCGGUUUAAUUGGAUUCAACACCGGAAAACUCACCAAGGGCGACUGUUACAUGAAGGCCAGGCCGACGACCUUGCCGGAUUUUCAGAGAGGUGGUGCAUGGCCGUCGUCAGUUCGUACCGUAAGGCGUUCUCUUAAGUGAGAUAACGAACGAGACCCUCACCGAUAAUUGCUACUUCUUCCUCCGGGGAGGAGGCACAUUAUCGGGACCGCUGGCGCUAAGCCAGAGGAAGGAGAGGUCAACGGUAGGUCAGUAUGCCCCGAAUCUCUUGGGCUACACGCGCGCUACAAAGGGCGGGACAAUGGGCUCCGACGCCGAGAGGCGGAGGCAAUCCCGAAACCCGUCCGUAGUUCGGAUUGAGGGCUGUAACCCGCCCUCAUGAAGCUGGAUUCCGUAGUAAUCGCGAAUCAACAACUCGCGGUGAAUAUGCCCCUGCUCCUUGCACACACCGC
rnacentral:rRNA from 2 species